rfam:Gorilla gorilla gorilla genomic chromosome, chr6, whole genome shotgun sequence
AUCGCUUCUCGGCCUUUUGGCUAAGAUCAAGUGUAAAAUUGCAUUGUGAAACAAUAACAUACUCCUACUUGAAAAGGAAAGAACUGAUCUAUGAAAAUGGUUUAUACAGUUUGUUGUUCUAAUUUUAAGAUUAAAAAGAAUUGCAAACAAAUCUUGAACUCUGUAUCAGGGUUAUUUUUGUAGAGCUA